GACGAACGCUGGCGGCGUGCUUAACACAUGCAAGUCGAACGGAAAGGCCCUGCUUUUGUGGGGUGCUCGAGUGGCGAACGGGUGAGUAACACGUGAGUAACCUGCCCUUGACUUUGGGAUAACUUCAGGAAACUGGGGCUAAUACCGGAUAGGAGCUCCUGCUGCAUGGUGGGGGUUGGAAAGUUUCGGCGGUUGGGGAUGGACUCGCGGCUUAUCAGCUUGUUGGUGGGGUAGUGGCUUACCAAGGCUUUGACGGGUAGCCGGCCUGAGAGGGUGGCCGGCCACAUUGGGACUGAGAUACGGCCCAGACUCCUACGGGAGGCAGCAGUGGGGAAUAUUGCACAAUGGGCGGAAGCCUGAUGCAGCAACGCCGCGUGCGGGAUGACGGCCUUCGGGUUGUAAACCGCUUUCGCCUGUGACGAAGCGUGAGUGACGGUAAUGUGUAAAGAAGCACCGGCUAACUACGUG
rnacentral:rRNA from 1 species